rnacentral:lncRNA from 1 species
UCUACGUUCUGCCUCUGAUCCGUACUCCAUUUUGGUUCCUGUUCAAUCUUCCUACUACCAAAUUUUCUUUCAAUUAAAUUCAUUUGUUCUAAUAGUUGUCUAAUUCGUUGUUGUGGUGUAUUUCUUGGUUCAGAUUUGGUGGCCACGAUGAUGGCUUCUAAUGUUUGAUGUUUUUCCUGUUCUUCAUUCGCAUAUUCAUCAGGGUGAAGUUGAUGAUAUCAAACCAGAUUCUACCGGUUCACUUUAGGCUUCAUGUUCAGAUGAUUCCACUGCAAAGUUAGGAGAAGAAAGUGAUGCAAAUGAUCCGUCAAUAUGAGGAGAGAAACAAGCGGUUGUUUUACAUCCUUUUAAUACAUAAUGUGGAGGAACUACUCUUAGUUGUUUAUACUCCAACGGUAGGCGAAGCAUGCGAGAAUUUUGGUAGAAUUUUUCGGCGUUCAAGGGACUUUACAUGUCUUUAAAAGACAAAUGCUAUAUUGUAUUUGGAGUGGGCACCUGAUGACAUUCUGAGUGGAGGUCCAGUGGAUGUAAAUGAUGAAAAAGAAACUCCUAUUAUGAGUGAUCAGCAGACCAAAUGAGCAUUACUAAUGAGCAUUACUGAGCAACAAUUGGAAGGAACAAAGGAUUCUAAUAUUGAUACAACACGAGAUUAAAAAAAGCACAUGAAGAAUGGGAAAAACAUUACAUUGGGUUUUGGUUUCUUGGGGUUUGAUAUUGUGGAUACUGUUAUACAGGUCUACAGGGACUUACAGGUUUGAUGCAUCGUGUUGUAUUAAGAUUUAUUGGAAGUGUUGUUAGCAUGUUUUCAUUUUCAGGAACGGUUUUGGAUGGACAUGCUUUUAUAUUACAGUUAUGUCAUGUUAAGAACAAUUAUAGAAUAAAAGGGAUGGUGGGCGAGGAUUAAAGUUCAACAAAGUUAAUUAUGAGAAAUGUAGCUUUUGAAGCUACUGAGAAAGAGUGAUGCCAACUAAUUAGUCCUUUUGGUGAGGUAAAGAGUUUAAGGCUUCCAACAAGGUUGGGAAGCAUAGAGGAUUCACUUUUUUCGAGCAUAUAACCAAACAAGAGACGAAAAACAUCCUUCAAGCUCUAUCAAACACUCAUUUAUAUCGACUUCAUCUGGUAUGUUUUUCGUGAAUAUAUAUAAUUAAUUAAAGUUACCUAUUUCUAUUCUGUUAUCUUAACAAAAAAAAAGUUAAAACAUUACUAUAUGUUACUAAAUGGAUGAGAGGUGCUAAGAAAGUGGCUUGAGGGAAAAGUUGAGAUGAUUGUUGUGUUCACCAAUUCAAGUGAUAUUUUCAGUCAGAUUUUGGGAUGGUUCAAAGAGGUUUAACAAAACCAGUUUUGUACCCGCCAUGAGGUUCCUGGGUCGACCACCCGAAAGUGAUGGCCGUAUCCAGCAAUUCUAGAUUGCUUAGAAAAACAUUAAUUGUUGUUUGUUGUUGGAAACCUUAACCAUUAAUAAAAGAAAAAUAUAUAUAAUGUUUUAUCCUUCUAUGCAUUUUAACUAUAAUAUUCACUUUGUCAAUAAGUAAUUUAUGUAAUAUGUCACUUUAUUUGUAUUUAUAUUAUUUAUACACUUUGUGAUAAUGUAGAUUAAAUUUUCCGACCCGCGAAGUUCGCGGGUGAUAACCUAGUCUAUGUAUAUAUCUGAUGAUAAUUAAUGGGUCAAACCACAAAUUUGAUUAGAGAUAAUUUAAAAAGUUUGAUAAUUCAUGCAGUACAAUAUAAAAACAUAGAAUCCCACCGAAUUCUCACAAUGAGAUAAUUAAGGAGAUUUGAAAUCAUAUUUAUGAAAGAUAAAUUUACGUUAAUACCCUUAGAUUAAAUUCUAAAAUAAUUAUUAAAUAAGAUAAAACUAGAAUUGAGACCCGCCGCAUUUGCGGCGGGGAUUCUUUAGUUAUAACUAAGUCGACUUAGGACCCG